UCUCUUUUAAAUCUAAUAAAAAUAAAUAAAAAUAAAUAGAAAUUAUUAAUUAUCGACAAUCAAUUUAUAACAGUUUUUAAGAUUUCUUAAAUGAUCGACACAUAACCAAAAAUCUCUUAGAUCAAUUAAUAUAUAGUAUGACAUAUAACUUUGAUUUUAAGCUCUUAUAGAUGACUUACAAACUCUUAUAAUAAUUUAAAAUAUACAAUAAGCCAAGAUAAAUAAUUUGAUAAAUGUUUUUAUAGAUGAUUUAUAAAGCAUAUAAUAUGAACUUUAGGAGAUGUUAAUAGUUUUUAUGAUAAUUUAUAUAAAAUAUAAUGUUUUUAAAUAAGAAUAUAAAAUCAUUAUAUUGAUUUAUAUAAAUGGUUUGUCGUUAAUUAUCUUAUGUAUUUUUUAAAUAUAAAAAAUGAUUAAUUUAUUUUUCUUUCUACAUUUUCAACAAUUAGUUACCGUAAAUUUUUAUUAUGUAAAUUAUUUGGCAAGUGAUAUUAAUUGGUUAUAGAUUUACCUUUUAUUUCUAUAUCUGAUUAAAAUAAAUAAAAAAUUAAAAAUCAUCGACCAAUCAAAUUAUAACAAUUUUGUAAGAGUUCACCUAUGAUCGACACGUAAGAAAAAUUCAAUAAAGUGACUUCUCAAUUAAUAUAUAGUAGGAUCUCAAGUCAUUUUCUUACUGUGUUAUUAUAUUUUUUUGGGAUCAAACUGUGUUAUUUUAUUUUAUAAUUUGUUUAUAUUUAGAAAUUUUGUGGUCUGAUAUUUUUUUGAAAGAAUAAAAAAUCAUGGGUUUGAAGACACAUUCAUCUCCUAGGGUAAGAUUUGAACUAUGUUAAAACAACUUUUUUCUCGAAGAUCAUAUCUCUUAUUACAAAACUUGAAUUUUAUUAGGUGAUCCAAAAAAAUUAACCACCAAACUGAUUUAUCAUUGGUAAUUCUUAUAUACUCUAAAGGAAGUUAUUUCUAUUAUUGACAUAUGAAUAACCCUAAUAUUAACUUGUGAAAUUGACAUCAAAUCAUUGACAGACCUUCUAGAUCGUGUAAUUCUUCUUUAAAAGCUUCAUCAAAUUGAUGUAGUUUUUUCUUAAUUUAUAUUGGUUUGGGUACCGUUCUUGAUAACUUAUAAAUACCAUAUGAUAGCAAUUAUUUCAGAAUUAUGACGUAACGUGUGAAAGAAGCAACCAUCACAUAAUUUGGAUUGUGUCUGUGAUGGCAUGACCCUCCAACUACUGUUUAUCCAUACGACAAAACUUUUUGAAGUCUUAUGGAUUGGAUCAAAAUCUAGAUUUGUUAUCAAAUUAGGCUCGUUUCGGGCCCAGCCUUGGCCUUAUCUCUUCUGUUUUCAAAUUCUUUUCCUACAAAUUGUAUUAGAUUGUAAUUUUCAGCUUACUAAAUAAUAUCGAAACUAAAGUGAGAAAAGUAUACCACCUUCUCGAGAUUAAAGUCCACACUGCUCAGUAUUUUAGUAUUUAUAAACUAUAGCUACAAUCUUGAAAGAUUAAUUUUUCUAAAAGUUCAUUUAGAAAAAUCUAAAAAUUUGGUAUAAAUAUAUAUAGAAAAUAUGAUUAGAUUAGAUUAGAUGAGAUGAGUUGAGUUGUGUGGAUAGAGUGCAAGACAAACCGAAAAAGGAAUCAGUAGUUAAGAUAGAGAUAGAGCUGUCUAAUAUCAUUGGAAGGUUGGAAACAAGAAGACGCAUUCUUGCAUCAAAGUCACGUUACGUUGCCAAUUUAAUCAACACAUUAAUUGUUUAAUAACCACUAUUAAUAUAUAUAUAUAUGUGUGUGUGUGUGUGUGUGUGUGAAUUUGUAUGUAAAUGUACAUGUGCAUGCAUACGAGUAUAUGAAUAGGAGGGAUACAUAGAGACAGAUAUUGUUAGUUGGCAAUGCCUCCAAGCAAACCACAAACCUUUUUAUCCUAAAACUAUCCCUUUUUCUUUUUUUCUGUUAUUUUGUGAUUUUCAUAUAUAUAUCUCCUUUCAACUUGAAUAAGUUUGUCUAUAGAUGUUACCCAUUCAUCAUUAAUGCGAUUGUUGUUUAUUGAUAAAGAUGAUGACUGAUGAGUUGUAUAUAUUAUCCACGAAUUCUUGCAUAUCAUGCAUGCAUCAAUCAAUUAAGUAAAAACUGAUUGAAUUCUCGGAUAUGAAAAAAGAUUAUAUGCUCUCUUCAAACAUAUUUUUUGAUUAUAGAUAUGCGGCCAUAUAUAUAUUAUUAUUUGGUUCGGAUCUACUCAACAUACUUUUGAUUUGAUAGUAAUAAUUUCCAAAGCUUUGUUUCUAAACUUACAAAGUACGAACGAGUUACACUUAGCAACACCAGAAUUAUGUAGAUGAAAUCGAUACGAAUUCGUUGAUACUACUUUCUGCAAUAAAAUGAUUUGUUUGGAUGGAUUAACAAGAAUUGACGUGGAUUGCAAGGGCCGACGUGGAAAAUAAAGGUCUAAAUCAAUUAGGAAGGAAGUUAACGGAAACAUACACAACGAAUAGUAUGAUAUGAGUUUUAUUUUAUUUUAUCAGUAUCAGUUUUCUCCAAAAUAUAAUAGAGAAUAUAAAUACGGCCCCUCACAUCACCCAAUAACCAACUUAUACACAUUGACACAAAAUUAUUAUUAGAACCAUAUUGCUUGUUUUUGGAUAAAAAUGUACGUACGCAUAAAUAUCAUAAUAUCAUAUAUACUAGAAAAUAAUAAAUACUUUUUACAACAAUAUUGUUUUUUAUGGGAUGAAUUUUAUGUUUAUUUUAACGGCAUGCUGCUCAGAGGAUCGAUCAGAUUUCUUGGGCAAAGAAUUUUCACAAACUAAUUAACUGUAGAUAGAACAC